rnacentral:other from 1 species
UUUUGUCUGCCGAGUUCGCCCGACGGUGAGAUAUUAUUUGCCCGAACCUUGUAGAAUCCCAAGGGAGCUGGCAUUGAGCACAAUUGCCAAGCCGUCCACGAGCGGAAGGCAUGGAUGCCUCGGCGACGCACCCACCUAACAUUGGGGUUCGCGCAAAAACCACCGCACGGCUCAUGCGGAUAACUU